GGCUUGGUGGCGUAAUGGUAAUGCGCUCCAUGGUGAUCUAUAGCAUUUAUAUAUUGUUUGAUGGAUAGUCCAGAGUUUGAUUCUCCCUCAAGCCA